GUUUGAUUUGUGGAUGACUCCUGGCUACUGCUUUUCCACGUCUCCCUGCCCUGUUUCCCUCCCCUGCCUCUCCUCAGGCACCUCAAGUCCAUGCCUCCC